rnacentral:lncRNA from 1 species
AUGAAGAAGAAACCAAACGCUCUUUUUUUUUUUUUUUUUUUUUUUUCCCUUUCCUUUCUCCCCACCCCUUUCAAUCGGAAGAAAGAAAUCCCAAGGUCUGCAAAGUGGCCCCCAGCGCAGUUCUCUUGCCCGGUGCGGGUAUCGGUGGUUUCCCGGCAGCAUUGGCACGAGGGGCGGUGGCCGCUGAGGUCUCCUGGUCUCCGGAGGGCCUGGAAUCUCCGCAGAGGCCAGCAAGGGCGAGGAGGCGGCUGGAGAAAGAACAAUUCACAGAGAAAUACUCAUUAUCUCCCUUCGGAGACAUUUCUGCAAUUAAAGGGCUGUGGGUGGAGGCACCCAAAUCAAGGGAGACCCCGGGAAGCCUGCUUGAGAAUGCCCAGGUCGCCGGCCACUCCCUCGGGAGGAACCCUCGCUCUGCAGGGAGGCAAUUUUGUGGUAUUGAACGCGGUAGGUUACAGCGUGUUGGUUUCUGUGCAAUAGUGAUUCUGUUACUUGUGUUUCAUUGCUCUGGGGGUGUGUGGACUUUGGGGGAGAAGAAAAAAUU